GGAGUUUGAUUCUGGCUCAGAUUGAACGCUGGCGGCGUGCCUAACACAUGCAAGUCGUGCGUGAAAGGGCUUCGGCCUGAGUAAAGCGGCGCACGGGUGAGUAACGCGUGGAUGAUCUGCCCAUGAGUUGGGAAUAACGGCUGGAAACGGUCGCUAAUACCGAAUACGCUCCGAUUUCACAGUUCGGGGGAAAGGUGGCCUCUGCUUGCAAGCUACCGCUCAUGGAUGAGUCCGCGUCCCAUUAGCUAGUUGGCGGGGUAAUGGCCCACCAAGGCGACGAUGGGUAGCCGACCUGAGAGGGUGAUCGGCCACACUGGGACUGGAACACGGCCCAGACUCCUACGGGAGGCAUCAGUGGGGAAUAUAGCGCAAUGGGCGAAAGCCUGACGCAGCGACGCCGCGUGAGGGAUGAAGGCCUUCGGGUCGUAAACCUCUGUCAGGAGGGAAGAACCGCCAUGGUGCUAAUCAGCCAUGGUCUGACGGUACCUCCAAAGGAAGCACCGGCUAACUCCGUGCCAGCAGCCGCGGUAAUACGGAGGGUGCAAGCGUUUUUCGGAAUCACUGGGCGUAAAGCGCACGUAGGCUGUUUGCUAAGUCAGG
rnacentral:rRNA from 1 species